rnacentral:rRNA from 1 species
GCAAUUAUACCGUGAAACUGCGAAUGGCUCAUUAAAUCAGUUAUCGUUUAUUUGAUAAUACCUUACUACUUGGAUAACCGUGGUAAUUCUAGAGCUAAUACAUGCUGAAAAUCCCGACUUCGGAAGGGAUGUGUUUAUUAGAUAAAAAACCAAUGCCCUUCGGGGCUUUUUGGUGAUUCAUGAUAACUUUACGGAUCGCAUAGCCUUGCGCUGGCGACGGUUCAUUCAAAUUUCUGCCCUAUCAACUUUCGAUGGUAAGGUAUUGGCUUACCAUGGUUUCAACGGGUAACGGGGAAUUAGGGUUCGAUUCCGGAGAGGGAGCCUGAGAAACGGCUACCACAUCCAAGGAAGGCAGCAGGCGCGCAAAUUACCCAAUCCCGACACGGGGAGGUAGUGACAAUAAAUACUGAUACAGGGCUCUUUUGGGUCUUGUAAUUGGAAUGAGUACAAUUUAAACCUCUUAACGAGGAACAAUUGGAGGGCAAGUCUGGUGCCAGCAGCCGCGGUAAUUCCAGCUCCAAUAGCGUAUAUUAAAGUUGUUGCAGUUAAAAAGCUCGUAGUUGAAACUUGGGCCUGGCUGGCGGGUCCGCCUCACCGCGUGCACUCGUCCGGCCGGGCCUUCCUUCUGAAGAACCUCAUGCCCUUCACUGGGCGUGCUGGGGAAUCAGGACUUUUACUUUGAAAAAAUUAGAGUGUUCAAAGCAGGCCUUUGCUCGAAUACGUUAGCAUGGAAUAAUAAAAUAGGGCGUGCGUUUCUAUUUUGUUGGUUUCUAGAGACGCCGCAAUGAUUAACAGGAACAGUCGGGGGCAUCAGUAUUCAGUUGUCAGAGG